UUUAAAUUUUCUUUCAGUUCAAUUAAGUGAUUAAUUAAAUGUUUCCAAAGUGGAAUUGAAAUUGAUUUAAAUUCUAAUUGAUUAUUAAGUGACUUUGGAAUUAAAAGAAAAAGGAAUUAGUUUAAUUUCUAUGAUAUUAUUUUGCAAUUUGUUUGAUCAAAGUUCCUCUUCUCUUAGGCCUAAGAAUUUCGGUCUUUUAGGAUUUUAUUUUGAUCUUUGAUUGUUGGACUUUCUUUGGACGUUGGAAUUAAAAGUUGACAUUUAAUUGGUUUGGGUGAAAAUCCUGAAGAUGAUUGAGAUUCUUUCAUAUUCGCCUGAUGUUUACUCUCAAUGAAUUUUGAAAUUUUGCUUUUCUUCAUUUGAAUUGGUUCUCAUUUGGAAUUAAUUGUUUCAUCUAAAUGAAUGGUUAUCAUAUUCACUUCCUUGUUUUAGUGGCCAACCUGAAAUAAAAGGAAUAGAUUACAAGGAAAAAGAUUAAUGCCUGAUAAUUGUGAUUGAUUCAUUUUGAUCAUUUUCGAUUCAAGUGUAUAUGUUUCAUUGGAGUUUCUCUAUAAUUGGUGUAAGAAUGAAUUGACGAAAAAAAUGGAAGAUCCAAUUAAAUGGAAUUACAUUUGCUCCGUUUCGUUACUCCAACGUCAAUGGAAAUGCUGAUAAAAGGAUUUACAUGAUUGUCUAUCAACGGGGAAUACAAAAUGAUUGCCACAAUGAUUUAUUUGCCUACAUCGAGGAUUACGAAAACUUGGCAACAAUUAAUGUAAUCAAUAAAUCAUUCAUUUGGUUGAUGUUGAUUGGAAAAAGCUGAUUCAAGAUUAUGCGUUUUUAUAAAUUAACAAAUUGUGGUAUAAAAGAAAACAAAGUCAACCGAACUAAUUGUAAUUGGAUUACGAGUUGUUAUCCAAGGUGCUCAUGUUUUCCUUUAACCGAAUAAUAAUUAAUCCAAUUACGACUCUUUAGAGAAAUUAAUUAUUUUCGGCGCUCGCACUUUUUGGUUAACAAUCCGGCAACUGGAUUUAGACAAUUAAUCAAGUGCUAAUUGUUCAACAUAAUUAUAAACAAUUUAUAAACACAAACCAUUGUAAUUGAACAGUAAGUCUAAUCUAAAUUAUAUACAGUAUAUUUGAUUGAAUUACAACAAAUCAACAGCAAUUUAAUUAU